rnacentral:rRNA from 1 species
UACGAAGGGGGCUAGUGUUGCUCGGAAUCACUGGGCGUAAAGCGCACGUAGGCGGAUUGCUAAGUCAGGGGUGAAAUCCUGGAGCUCAACUCCAGAACUGCCUUUGAUACUGGCAACCUUGAGUCCGGAAGAGGUGAGUGGAACUGCGAGUGUAGAGGUGAAAUUCGUAGAUAUUCGCAAGAACACCAGUGGCGAAGGCGGCUCUCUGGCCCGGUACUGACGCUGAGGUGCGAAAGCGUGGGGAGCAAACAGG